GAUCCUGGCUCAGGAUAAACGCUGACAGAAUGCUUAACACAUGCAAGUCAACUUGAACUUCGGUUUUGGUGGCGGACGGGUGAGUAACGCGUAAAGAACUUGCCUCACAGCUAGGGACAACAUUUGGAAACGAAUGCUAAUACCUGAUAUUAUGAUUUUAGGGCAUCCUAGGAUUAUGAAAGCUAUAUGCGCUGUGAGAGAGCUUUGCGUCCCAUUAGCUAGUUGGAGAGGUAACGG
rnacentral:rRNA from 1 species